CCUACGGGAGGCAGCAGUAGGGAAUCUUCCACAAUGGGCGAAAGCCUGAUGGAGCAACGCCGCGUGGGUGAAGAAGGCCUUCGGAUCGUAAAACUCUGUUGUUAGAGAAGAAAGUUUGUGAGAGUAACUGUUUACGUUUCGACGGUAUCUAACCAGACAGCCACGGCUAACUACGUGCCAGCAGCCGCGGUAAUACGUAGGUGGCAAGCGUUAUCCGGAUUUAUUGGGCGUAAAGGUAACGCAGGCGGUCUUUUAAGUCUGAUGUGAAAGCCUUCGGCUUAACCGGAGUAGUGCAUUCGAAACUGGAAGACUUGAGUGCAGAAGAGGAGAGUGGAACUCCAUGGGUAGCGGUGAAAUGCGUAGAUAUAUGGAAGAACACCGGUGGCGAAAGCGGCUCUCUGGGCUGUAACUGACGCUGAGGUUCGAAAGCGUGGGUAGCAAACAGGAUUAGAUACCCUGGUAGUC
rnacentral:rRNA from 1 species